AUUGAACGCUGGCGGCAGGCCUAACACAUGCAAGUCGAGCGGAUGAAGGGAGCUUGCUCCUGGAUUCAGCGGCGGACGGGUGAGUAAUGCCUAUGAAUCUGCCUGGUAGUGGGGGAUAACGUCCGGAAACGGGCGCUAAUACCGCAUACGUCCUUAGGGAGAAAGUUGGGGAUCUUCGGACCUCACGCUAUCAUAUGUGCCUAGGUCGGAUUAGCUAGUUGGUGGGGUAAAGUCCUACCAAGGCGACGAUCCGUAACUGGUCUGAGAGGAUGAUCAGUCACACUGGAACUGAGACACGGUCAAGACGCCUACGGGAGGCAGCAGUGGGGAAUAUUGGACAAAGGGCGAAAGCCUGAUCCAGCCAUGCCGCGUGUGUGAAGAAGGUCUUCGGAUUGUAAAGCACUUUAAGUUGGGAGGAAGGGAAGUAAGUUAAUACCUUGCUGUUUUGACGUUACCAACAGAAUAAGCACCGGCUAACUUCGUG
rnacentral:rRNA from 1 species